GACGAACGCUGGCGGCGUGCUUAACACAUGCAAGUCGAACGGAAAGGCCCUGCUUGCAGGGUACUCGAGUGGCGAACGGGUGAGUAACACGUGGGUGAUCUGCCCUGCACUUCGGGAUAAGCCUGGGAAACUGGGUCUAAUACCGGAUAGGAGCCAUUUUUAGUGUGAUGGUUGGAAAGUUUUUUCGGUGUAGGAUGAGCUCGCGGCCUAUCAGCUUGUUGGUGGGGUAAUGGCCUACCAAGGCGGCGACGGGUAGCCGGCCUGAGAGGGUGGACGGCCACAUUGGACUGAGAUACGGCCCAGACUCCUACGGGAGGCAGCAGUGGGGAAUAUUGCACAAUGGGCGCAAGCCUGAUGCAGCGACGCCGCGUGGGGGAUGACGGCCUUCGGGUUGUAAACUCCUUUCGCUAGGGACGAAGCUUUUUGUGACGGUACCUAGAGAAGAAGCACCGGCUAACUACGUG
rnacentral:rRNA from 1 species